rfam:Pelodiscus sinensis unplaced genomic scaffold scaffold2699, whole genome shotgun sequence.
GGUCCCAUGGUGUAAGGCGCAGCACUCAGGACUUUGAAUCCUGCAAUGUGAAUUCAAAUCUCAGUGGGACCU